AUGAAGAACAAAGAUAAGCUCAGUAAGCCGACGUCAGCUGGUCGUGUGGCCGGCAAAGGCUUGUCGACAAAAUGGUCGUCAUACUAUAACACUGGUGGGCGGAAGGAGAAAAAGACCAGCUCGGAAAGCCAGGCGCGCGAGGUUCAAGAACUCAGGGCACAGGUGGCGCAGAUUCCGGAGAUGGUCCAAGAGCAAGUGGAACAACAACUCGGAAGGACGAUCACCGCCAUUGUGCCUACCUUGAUCCAGGGGAUUAGUGCGUGGAUUGCGGGCGGCCAACAGGGGCCACCCCCGAUUCCUAGCUUCAUGGCCAGCAACUCGCAGAACGCGAUGGCGGGGCCAUUGGUGUCUCCGGCGGAGGCGGCAUUGGUGUCUCCGACGCCGGCACGGGAGCUUAAUGCACCCGGGUGUACGCCGGCCGGCACCUCUGCAGCAAGCGGCCCCUCCGUCAACUGCACGCCCGCCGUUGGCGGUGCCUCGACAUUAGCCGAGCUCGACGCCAUCAUCAUGGGCACCGCCGACAUUCCGUGCACUCUCCUGCACUUCGUGAACAACGAGUUGGUCGAUGUCGCCAAGGGCAAAAUCGUUCAACCGGGCAACCCCUUGUUCCACGGUACCCAGAUGCCACCCAACUUGUUUAGGGUUCAACUGGUUCGGGUGCUGCCAGGCUACGACGAGUUGUUACCUCCGAUUCGACCCGUCGGGGCCGACGAUGAUGACGUGAUGACCCUCAGCGCCUGCCUGAGCUGGCCCCUGCUUUGGCCGAAGAGCCAGAUUCGUUUGGGGGCGGGGGACACCACCCCAAAGACAACACCGCCAGUCGUGCCGGCGCCAAGUCGGCCCCAUGGCAAGACCGCCGCAACGGUGCCGGACAUCCCUAUGCCACUGGAUCCAAACAUGCAUAUGGCACAGGAUCAGAACGACGACGACGACGAUACAUAUGCCAACGUUGAUCAGUACUUUUCCGAUCAUGGGUACGGUGGCGACUUCAUGGGGCCUCCUUCUCAAGAACCCAACCCAACAAAAGACGUGCGCGAUCUAGCUGGUACCGCGGAGAAGCCAAGUUGCAACAGGCGUCGUCUAGCGUUCAGCUCUCAGGAGACGCCUCCAGCUGCCGACUUCACCGAGCCUCAGAUAGGCGAGGUGUGA
rnacentral:rRNA from 1 species